rnacentral:rRNA from 1 species
GACGAACGCUGGCGGCGUGCUUAACACAUGUCAAGUCGAACGAGAGGACAUGGGAAGCUUGCUUCCUAUGAAAUCGAGUGGCAAACGGGUGAGUAACGCGUAAACAACCUGCCCUUCGGAUGGGGAUAACAGCCGGAAACGGCUGCUAAUACCGAAUACGAUCUUUUCGUCGCAUGACGGAAAGAAGAAAGGAUGGCCUCUAUACAAAGCUAUCGCCGAAGGAGGGGUUUGCGUCUGAUUAGCUGGUUGGAGGGGUAACGGCCCAACAAGGCGAUGAUCAGUAGCCGGUCUGAGAGGAUGAACGGCCACAUUGGGACUGAGACACGGCCCAGACUCCUACGGGAGGCAGCAGUGGGGAAUCUUCCGCAAUGGACGAAAGUCUGACGGAGCAACGCCGCGUGAGUGAAGUAGGUCUUCGGAUUUGUAAGCUCUGUUAUACGGGACGAAWAAAGANCGGAUGCCAACCAGUAUCCGUCCCGUGACGGGUACCGUAAGAGAAAGCCACGGCUAACUACGUGCCAGCAGCCGCGGUAAUACGUAGGUGGCAAGCGUUGUCCGGAAUUAUUGGGCGUAAAGGGCGCGCAGGCGGUUCGGUAAGUCUGUCUUAAAAGUGCGGGGCUUAACCCCGUGAGGGGACGGAAACUGUCGAACUUGAGUGUCGGAGAGGAAAGCGGAAUUCCUAGUGUAGCGGUGAAAUGCGUAGAUAUUAGGAGGAACACCGGUGGCGAAAGCGGCUUUCUGGACGACAACUGACGCUGAGGCGCGAAAGCGUGGGGAGCAAACAGGAUUAGAUCCCCUGGUAGUCCACGCCGUAAACGAUGGAUACUAGGUGUAGGAGGUAUCGNCCCCUUCUGUGCCGUAGUUAACGCUAUAAGUAUCCCGCCUGGGGAGUACGGCCGCAAGGUUG